CCCUUAGAUGUUCUGGGCCGCACGCGCGCUACACUGAUGCAUUCAACGAGUUUUUCCUGGUCCGAGAGGAAUGGGUAACCUUUUGAAAGUGCAUCGUGCUAGGGAUAGACUAUUGCAAUUAUUGGUCUUCAACGAGGAAUUCCUAGUAGACGUAGUUCAUCAGACUGCAUCGAUUACGUCCCUGCCCUUUGUACACACCGCCCGUCGCUCCUACCGAUUGAAUGUUCCGGUGAGCUCUUCGGACUGCGCGGUCUGCAGUUUCUGCGUUCCGUGCGGAAAGUUGCGCAAACCUUAACAUUUAGAGGAAGGAGAAGUCGUAACA
rnacentral:rRNA from 1 species